rnacentral:rRNA from 1 species
GCUUGCUCCCUGAUGUUAGCGGCGGACGGGUGAGUAACACGUGGGUAACCUGCCUGUAAGACUGGGAUAACUCCGGGAAACCGGGGCUAAUACCGGAUGGUUGUCUGAACCGCAUGGUUCAGACAUAAAAGGUGGCUUCGGCUACCACUUACAGAUGGACCCGCGGCGCAUUAGCUAGUUGGUGAGGUAACGGCUCACCAAGGCGACGAUGCGUAGCCGACCUGAGAGGGUGAUCGGCCACACUGGGACUGAGACACGGCCCAGACUCCUACGGGAGGCAGCAGUAGGGAAUCUUCCGCAAUGGACGAAAGUCUGACGGAGCAACGCCGCGUGAGUGAUGAAGGUUUUCGGAUCGUAAAGCUCUGUUGUUAGGGAAGAACAAGUGCCGUUCAAAUAGGGCGGCACCUUGACGGUACCUAACCAGAAAGCCACGGCUAACUACGUGCCAGCAGCCGCGGUAAUACGUAGGUGGCAAGCGUUGUCCGGAAUUAUUGGGCGUAAAGGGCUCGCAGGCGGUUUCUUAAGUCUGAUGUGAAAAGCCCCCGGCUCAACCGGGGAGGGUCAUUGGAAACUGGGGAACUUGAGUGCAGAAGAGGAGAGUGGAAUUCCACGUGUAGCGGUGAAAUGCGUAGAGAUGUGGAGGAACACCAGUGGCGAAGGCGACUCUCUGGUCUGUAACUGACGCUGAGGAGCGAAAGCGUGGGGAGCGAACAGGAUUAGAUACCCUGGUAGUCCACGCCGUAAACGAUGAGUGCUAAGUGUUAGGGGGUUUCCGCCCCUUAGUGCUGCAGCUAACGCAUUAAGCACUCCGCCUGGGGAGUACGGUCGCAAGACUGAAACUCAAAGGAAUUGACGGGGGCCCGCACAAGCGGUGGAGCAUGUGGUUUAAUUCGAAGCAACGCGAAGAACCUUACCAGGUCUUGACAUCCUCUGACAAUCCUAGAGAUAGGACGUCCCCUUCGGGGGCAGAGUGACAGGUGGUGCAUGGUUGUCGUCAGCUCGUGUCGUGAGAUGUUGGGUUAAGUCCCGCAACGAGCGCAACCCUUGAUCUUAGUUGCCAGCAUUCAGUUGGGCACUCUAAGGUGACUGCCGGUGACAAACCGGAGGAAGGUGGGGAUGACGUCAAAUCAUCAUGCCCCUUAUGACCUGGGCUACACACGUGCUACAAUGGACAGAACAAAGGGCAGCGAAACCGCGAGGUUAAGCCAAUCCCACAAAUCUGUUCUCAGUUCGGAUCGCAGUCUGCAACUCGACU